rnacentral:rRNA from 1 species
AUUGAACGCUGGCGGCAGGCCUAACACAUGCAAGUCGAGCGGAUGAAGGGAGCUUGCUCCUGGAUUCAGCGGCGGACGGGUGAGUAAUGCCUAGGAAUCUGCCUGGUAGUGGGGGAUAACGUCCGGAAACGGGCGCUAAUCCCGCAUACGUCCUGAGGGAGAAAGUGGGGGAUCUUCGGACCUCAAGCUAUCAGCUGAGCCUAGGUCGGAUUAGCUAGCUGGUGGGGUAAAGGCCUACCAAGGCGACGAUCCGUAACUGGUCUGAGAGGAUGAUCAGUCACACUGGGACUGAGACACGGUCCAGACUCCUACGGGAGGCAGCAGUGGGGAAUAUUGGACAAUGGGCGAAAGCCUGAACCAGCCAUGCCGCGUGUGUGAAGAAGGUCUUCGGAUUGUAAAGCACUUUAAGUUGGGAGGAAGGGCAGUAAGUUAAUACCUUGCUGUUUUGACGUUACCAACAGAAUAAGCACCGGCUAACUUCGUG